rnacentral:rRNA from 1 species
AUGGGGUGCAGCAGGCGCGAAACCUCCGCAAUACACGAAAGUGUGACGGGGUUACCCAAAGUGUUCAAUUUUGAACUGUGGUAGGUGAGUAAUGUUCCCUACUAGAAAGGAGAGGGCAAGGCUGGUGCCAGCCGCCGCGGUAAAACCAGCUCUUCAAGUGGUCGGGAUAAUUAUUGGGCUUAAAGUGUCCGUAGCCGGUUUAGUAAGUUCCUGGUAAAAUCGGGUAGCUUAACUAUCUAUAUGCUAGGAAUACUGCUAUACUAGAGGGCGGGAGAGGUCUGAGGUACUACAGGGGUAGGGGUGAAAUCUUAUAAUCCUUGUAGGACCACCAGUGGCGAAGGCGUCAGACUGGAACGCGCCUGACGGUGAGGGACGAAAGCCAGGGGAGCGAACCGGAUUAGAUACCCGGGUAGUCCUGGCCGUAAACGAUGCAUACUAGGUGAUGGCACGGCCAUGAGCCGUGUCAGUGCCGUAGGGAAACCGUUAAGUGUGCCGCCUGGGAAGUACGGUCGCAAGGCUAAAACUUAAAGGAAUUGGCGGGGGAGCAC